rnacentral:lncRNA from 1 species
CUCUCAUUAGCUAAAUGCUUUAAUUCAUUAUAGAGUCUGAGUUAAAACCAAGCUGCAGUCAGCAUUGACAGUUUAUUAAAAACACAUUUUUCAUGUAAGUGUCAAUGUUUUUCAGAUGAGUUAAUUUUAAUAUGACUGAUGGUCUAAGUGGAAGGCAAUAUACUCUGUCAUUCAGAUAGAGGUUCAAACCCAAUUAUAUAUAUGAGAAGUAAUUUUAUGCAGGAAAAUGGAGAACUCAAAGGAUGGACCCAAAGGACAAAAAUGUCAUCAGUUAAGUGAUGACCUUUCUUUGUGCAGUGUUUGAACCAAGAUAAUGAUCUCUGAUUAACAAGAUCAGGGUUUAGCUCUGCUUGCUAAUGGCCUGGGGUGAGCGUGUGGACUGCAUUUUAAGGCCUGGAGCUGCCCUGCCCUGCAGAGCUAGCUGGAGCUGCAGACUUGUGCGGAUGUGCCAGCUGGAGCUUAUGGGUUUUCCAGCUCUGGUUAAAUGAAAGAGAGAAAUCCAUCUUGCUGCCUCACCAGCCCUGCUCUGUUUUGUUUUUGGGCUCUGACAAGAUCACAGCUUGAGAAAUCCUGUGUAAAAGUCCUCUCCUGACUGCUUGGCUAACUAAGAGCCAUAGUGCACAAAGUGAAGGAGAGCUGUGUGCAAAUAGUGUGACAAACAUAGAAACCACCGGAGAUGUAAAUUGUUUUAUCUCUGGAAUCAGAGGCAGCCAGUAAAGCUGUUCCUGCUGUGAAAAAACAAGGCUUGAGAAGCCCUUGGUUUCCUGAAAUAAAACAGUACAUAGUACCUCCUAGGAAAUACAGUGACAAAUUAUUAUUUCACACAACAUCCUGGCUAAGAUAUUUGAGAGAGGGGCAUAUUGCCAUUGUCCAUUUUGGGUGGCAAUGAUAUGGAACACAACUGCCUGUAAGCUCUGGUGAUGAUGGGAAUGGCAGCUGCAGGAAUAUUUUCCCAAAUCAUGGCACGACAUGAUAUACUGGCUGUAGUGUGCGUAAAUACACCUGAUCGGUGUAGAGGAUGUUCCUGCAUACUUCAGCUCCUGGCAUUCUGCUGCACACUCAAGCCAUCACAGAUUAUGUUUUCAAGGACACCUAAUCACACUGCACUUAAACAAACAACAAUGUUCAGCUACAGAGUGUUGGAAAAUCCAAGGUUAUGAGAAGAACGACAUAACACUUUAAAGGAGCAUAGUAAUCACUUUGUAAAUUCAAGUUCACUGGCAACUAUAACAGUAUCCAAAGUUAGGGAGCUUAAAACUUAGAGAUAUUGGCAUUUUUUGAUGCAAAAACCAUUCACACCUAAACAUACAUUAAACUAAAAGGACUGAAACAAACAAACAAACAAACAAAAAAACCCUACCUGUGUGUACACUACUGUUAUGUGGCAAGGCAUGCUCUUUUCUUUGCAAUAUGCAUAAUGAAAUACAAUCCCUCACCAGUUCAUCACUCAAACAGCUAAAUCUGAUUUUGCAGUGAAAAUGCAAUUUAAUCUCAUCAGGUUCCAUAGUGCUGAAAUACUAAACUUAACAAUAGAAACUGAUGUGAUAUGUUUCAAAUUAAAUUGAACCACUGCAAACAAUGGGUUCCUUCAGAUGCUGGCCUUGACUGAAUCUGUUUUUCCACUUCAUUUUGCAAAGAAAUCAUCAAGUCUAAUGGCUUCAAGCAAUCUAAGUGAUGUGCAGGUUGAAUGAAAAAAAUAAGCAGUGUCACUGAAAAAACGCCACACACAAACAAAGAGAAAUUACCACACGCUGCACUGAAGGCAUUAUCAUUUCCCCAGUCCAUCUGAAGAACUUCUAACUGAAGCAAGGAACCCAACCUUCAGCCAGUGAAGUCAAAAAAAACAUUUUGCCUUCUUUAAUGUCGGAAUAAGGCCUGAUGUCUGUAGAGCAUUGGGUGAAGGUUAGUAUUUGGCCUGAAAAUGUGCAUAAAAAGUUCUAAGUUUGAGGAUUUAUCAAACAUUAAUCCCUCACACCAAGCAGACAGAGGAAAAUAGGAUGGAAAGGAAUAGAAUAGUUCUGUUGGAAGAGACCUACAAAGAUCAUCAAAUCCAACUGCCUGACCACAGGGCUGACCAAAAUUUAAAACAUAUUAUUGAGGGAAUUGUUCAAAUGGAUCUUGAACAGGCAUGGGGCAUCAACCAUCUCCCUAAGAAGACUGUUCCAGUGCUUGACCACCCUCAAGGUGAAGAAAUUUUUCCCAGUAUCCAGCCUGAGCCUCCCCUGGCACUGCUUUGAGCCAUUCCCACACACUCUCUUGGUUACCAAUAUGGAGAGCAGCAGCUCUCCAUCUCCGCUCCUCAGGAAUUUCCCCUUUUCCCCAGAAAAAGGAGAUUAAAAAGCUCUUAUUUGACAGAAGACAGUGCUGAAAGACCACUUGGGAGCCAGCCUGAUGGGCAUCUGCAGCCCAGGCCAACCACCACCCGCUCACACCACGGCGCGGACAUGUUCAAGGAAAUAGCACGCUGCUUCCUUCUCUCAGGAGGCAUUAAGGAGAACACAGGCUGGCACUACGCAUGCUGGCAGUGUCUGGGUAAUGAGUAACACUGAUCAAGAGACUCCAGUGACUUUGGGAUGAGCAGGAUUAGGGCUAUGUUGUCCAGGACUGCCUAGCUAAUUCCUUCCGUAUGGCUGCUCGCUUCACACAGAAGUCAGGCAUUUUCCUCUGAAGGAGAAGAGUCUCAAAAAGAUUUUUAUACAUUUUCCCUGGGUGAAGGGGGAUAGUGAAGGCCUGAGAAUGUCACUAAUAUGUAUUACGAACAGGUUUGUUUAAGUCAUAAAUAAUAGCUAUUACAAGAAAUCACAAGUGAAACAGGAGGCAUCUUAGUCUGAAUUUAGUCUUCUCUGUUUGUGUACUUCCUUGCAGAUAUUGUGUGAGACAGGUUUAUUCAAAAUAAAUCGAUUUUUUUGUGUAUGCCUACA